UAGAUCUAGGAAAAUUUUAAAAUUUAUCCCCAAUUCAAAAGAAAACAAACCAACAAGGCAACAGCGACAUUGCACACCGUAUCACCUCAACACACACAAAGCAAGAAAUAAACAAUGAACAUUUCAGAGGUUGCAAAAUCUCUUUUCAAGAGACAUAUCCAUGCAACAGCCAAUGAAAUGAACACAAAUUAAUUCUGAAGCACCCCAGGUUCCAAUUUCAUAUUUAUUCCAUGGGAAAGGAGAAAGCUAACAGUACAUAGCUCAUGCUCGAACUUAAAUAA
rnacentral:misc_RNA from 1 species